AGUGAACGCUGGCGGUAGGCCUAACACAUGCAAGUCGAACGGCAGCACAGUAAGAGCUUGCUCUUACGGGUGGCGAGUGGCGGACGGGUGAGGAAUACAUCGGAACCUACUUUUUCGUGGGGGAUAACGUAGGGAAACUUACGCUAAUACCGCAUACGACCUACGGGUGAAAGCAGGGGAUCUUCGGACCUUGCGCGAUUGAAUGAGCCGAUGUCGGAUUAGCUAGUUGGCGGGGUAAAGGCCCACCAAGGCGACGAUCCGUAGCUGGUCUGAGAGGAUGAUCAGCCACACUGGAACUGAGACACGGUCCAGACUCCUACGGGAGGCGGCAGUGGGGAAUAUUGGACAAUGGGCGCAAGCCUGAUCCAGCCAUACCGCGUGGGUGAAGAAGGCCUUCGGGUUGUAAAGCCCUUUUGUUGGGAAAGAAAAGCAGCAGGUUAAUACCCCGCUGUUCUGACGGUACCCAAAGAAUAAGCACCGGCUAACUUCGUG
rnacentral:rRNA from 1 species